UGUAUGUUUUGGAGCCUGUCCUGUAACUCCCUCUGUAGAUCAGGCCGGCCUGGAACUCACAGAGAUCCACCUGCCUCUGCCUCCCAGGCACUGGGAUUAAAGGCAUGCACCACCACCGACUGGCCCAAAUGAGACUCUUUACAGUGUUCUGCCUGCAUGUUUGCCUACAGGCCAGAAGAAGGCACCAGAUCUCAUUGCAGAUGGUUGUGAGCCACCAUGUGGUUGCUGGGAAUCGAACUCAGGACUUAUGGAAGAGCAGCCAGUGCUCUUAACCUCUGAGCCAUCUCUCCAGCCGGAAUUAACCUCGUAUAGAAUGAGGUGAACAAAUGAGAGUCUUAAUAUUUGUAAAUUUCUCAGAUAAGCUUGAGAAAAUGAACUAGUCAUUUGGUUAAGUCUAUUAAAUCAAGACAGCAAAUAGGAAGGUGGAGAGAUGGCUCAGGGGUUAAAACCAUACACUGCUCUUGCAAAGGACUCAAAGUUUAGUCCCAGCACCCACAUCAGGUAACUAACAACUAUAACUAAUGCUAACCCUAUAACUCCAGCUCCAAGGGAAUCUGACACCUUUGAUAUCACAUACACAUACUCACAUAACACAUACACAUAAUUAAGAAAAGUAAAAAUAAUACUAUGGGGCUGGAGAAAUAGCUCACUGGUUAAGAACACCAGCUGCUCUUUCAGAGGACAUGGGUUCAAUUCCUACCACUCACAUGGGGCUCAGAACCGUUUGUAAUCCAGUUCCAGGGUAUCUGAUGACAACGUCUCUGGCCUCUGUGGGCAUCAGGUUAGUACCUGGUGAACUUACAUACAUGUAGGCAAAACACCACACAUACUAUGUAUGUGUAUGUCUUUAAAAUGCAACAUAGCUAGUUACGGGGAUGCAUGCUUGUGAUCCCAGCAGGUAGGCAGGAGGAUGAGAUCUUCAAGGUCAGCCUCAGCUAUAUAGAGUGUUUGAAGCUAACCUUAGCUACGUAAGCCCCUAUCUUGUGUGUGUGUGUGUGUGUGUGUGUGUGUGUGUGUGUGUGUGUCAGGGAGGCCAAGUGCAUGCACAAUAUCCUAGGGUUCUACCCCAGCACUGCAUAAGCUGGCAUGGUCGCACAGAGCCUGUAAUGUCAGCACUCAGGCGAAAAUUCAAGAUCACCGUCAGCUACAUAGUGACUUUAAGGACAGUGUGGGCUAUGUGACACUGUCUCAAAAAAGUAAAAACAAAACAAGAAAGGCAGUGUGUAGGAAAUCUGCAGAACUGGGGUCUGCUUAGUCAGUGAAGGAGAGACAAAGGACCUGUGGGCUUUCUGGCUAGUCAGUCCAGCCUAAAUGGUGAGCUACUGGCCAUGGGGAGAUGCUAUGUCAUGGGAGGUGGACAAUUUUCCUGAGGACGCAUCCCAGGUUGUCCUUUGGCCUCUGCAUGCAUGGCCACACAGGUGUACCACCCCUACAUGAACACAUACAUGUAUACACAUAUGCUCAUUAAAAAGAAAACACGGUUGUCGAGGAUGGUGGCACACACCUUUAAUCCCAGCACUUGGGAGGCAGAGGCAGGCAGAUCUCUGUGAGUUCGAGGCCAGCCUGGUCUACAUAGUGAGUGCCAGGAUAGGCUCCAAAGCUACAGAAAGGCUGUCUUGGGGGAGAGGGUGUCUUGAGCCAGGCAGUAGUGGUGCACACCUUAAAUCCCAGCACUUGAGAGAUUGAGACAGGCAGAUCUUUUGAGUGUGGUCUAUGGAGUGAGUUUCCAGGAUAGCCAGGGCUACACAGAGAAAUCCUUUCUCAAAAAACUUAAAAAAAAACUUGAUUGCUGGCAUAAUCAAGAAAACUAACAACACAUUUAGAAGACUUUUUAAAAUUAGUGACUAUGAAUCCAGGUAUGCUGGCACAAAUCUGUAAUACCAGCACCUGGGAGGCAGAAGCAGGCAGAUCUUUGUAAACUUGAGGCUAGUUAAGCCUGCCUUACCUACAAAGGAAGUUUGGGCUUCCUAAGACACCGUCUCAACUAGAGAUAGCAAAAGGAGGAACCAGAGGACAAAAGGGGAAAGAGGGAGGAGAGGUAGUGAUCACACAAAACCCAGCCUGGAGGUCAAGGUUACAGGCAGGAAGGUCCACCAGCAAGAGAGAGAGAGGCUGAGACCUUUCUAAGAGACAAAAGGGUAGGGCUGAAGGCUGGGGGUGGUACAUGCUUGUAAUCCCAGCACCCAGGAAGUGGAAGCUGGAAGAUCAGAGUUCCAAACCAGCCUGGGCUACAUAGUGAGUUGCAGGCCAGCUUAAGCUACAACAGUGAAGUCAUACCCUAAGCUACAGUAGUGAGUUCCAAGCUAGACUAAACUACAUAGUGAAAGCCUGUGGGCUUGUGGAGUGGGAACUCCUGGGUUGGAGGGAGGCAACUGUGGGCACCAAGAGCCGCUGUCCAGCAGGCAGAGGACUAUGUGGGAGAGAUCCGGUCUGGCUUGAAGACCCAGGCCUCGUCAAGCUGACAGUUAUGGGCAAGAACAGAAUUGCUAAGGGUGGUAUGGUGACAAAAGGGACAUUUGCAACCUAGCCCAUUCUCAAAAUAUAAAUGGAAACCUCAUUAACCUGACCUAUUACCACACCAUGACCGCCCAUCUCUAUUCCAGGGACCCAAGUCCCUAAGGUAUGUGACUAGCCAGCCCAAAAUAGUCAUAGACCUGCCCCCUCUCCUACUGAGAAGUCCUCCCAAGCUUGACCUCCUCCAGUGCUCCCAACCCCUUCAAGGGACAGUGAACAGUACCAUGAAUGAAGUUUAUGCUGGAGCUGACCGGUCAGGGUAGGGACCAGCUGGCACCACAUGCAUGACCUAUUUAAGGUUCUGCCUGCCACCUGUCCCGCCCCAGGCACUUAACCCCCUUUCAGUACACAGGUCACAGCUGACUGGAUUUCUGAGCCAUCCGCUCUGCUCUGUGCCUGCCUCUACUCAGAUAUGGGACUGGGAGGGCUGCCACAGUGAUCCUGGGUGGCAGAGACACUUGAACUCUCGCCUGGUGUGCUGACUGAGUUCAGUGUGCCAGGCUUGGGAUCCUUGGGCAUGUGGAUGGGUGCUUCUAGUGUUCCAGAAAGUGGACGAGCCUUGUCUUCUUGUCCCUUUCUCUGAGAACUGCCAUGCCUGCGUGUAGGGUGAGUAGAUGAUAGGGGCUUAGAGGAUUUAGUAAGCUGCAGUUUACAGAAUCUUUUCUUGUUCUUUGACCUGUCUGCUUUCAUUUUCUACAGUAAAACAGGCAGAGCAGGAAAUAGUCCCAAUCUGUAGCUAUUGGGAGGACUGUUAGACAGUGAGUGUACCUAAGUGUUGGGCAGAGGGACAAACUAUUGCUGUCACUCAGCUCAGUGAUUUUCCAGGUGUUACCCUCCCUGGUUUACAGAGACUCUGAGACACUAAGUACCUGGUUCAAGGUGACCUUGACACAAGGUGCAGUGGAGGUCCCACAGUCUGACUUUCCCAAAUGCCUGAGUUCACAAGCAAGUGGGGAAGGUGCUCCCACUAAGUGACCUGUGACAUCACCUACCUUUCUCAGCGUCAGCAGCCCCUCCCCCGACCCCAGCAUACAUCCUGCCCUCCGCGGACUUGAUUCCUAGCCGCUGACUGACUACAGCAAGAGAUGGCUGUAAUUCCCUUGGCAAGUCCUUACUGAUACAGUUAUGUCCUGGUGAGGGGAACCAGAACCACGGAGGAGGAGAAGCUUGUUCAGGUUUGAACACCUGGGGCCCCAGACAGACACUCUACGGAUCUGAAUUCAAGCCGUGGCCGCCCCAUCCUCAGAAAAAGCCAAGGAAGAGGUUGCUGCUGUCUUGGGCAGAAAAAGGCCUUCACAGCGCCCUGCUGACCUACACUUAGCACUCCCCACAGCCUGGAUCCAGAAAGCGGCUGGUUAUUUGGACUGCCACAGCUGUAGAGGCUGCAUAGACACACCUUGAAAAUACAGGGAGCCCCAGUGGACUGCUAGGCUCUCAGAGCCUGGCUAGGACAGAGCCUCUGAUGGGUUAAAGGGGACCAGGACUCUGCCCACCCUCACCCUAGGAACCAGAUGGUCCCUAGGGACCUGCAGACUCUGCCAGCCUGGCCUUGGCACCAGAUCUUCUGGCCAGCCUCCUGAAGUCACUGUUCCUGUGUCUGCACUGACCAGACAGCGAAGCUCUCUUUAGUGACUGCACUUCUCAGCUCACAUCCAUUUUGAAUUGCUAUCAACUUAAUCCUAAGAAUAAUUUAGUUUUUGUGAGAAUUGGGGUUCUCCUGUUACUCCACCUCCCUUUUAUCCCUGUUUCCACAUUUCCUCCUUUCUGUACCUAAAUCAGCUUUGUGUUGUUGAUUUUGAUGCAAGGUUUCUCUGUGUAGCUCUGGCUCUCUGUAGACCAUGCUGGCCUCGAACCCUGAGACCCACCUGCCUCUACCUCCCGAGUGCUGCGAUUAAAGGUGUGUGCCACUCCCCACUGGCUAAAUUAGUUUUUGAAAAAAAAGGUAGAAUUUACCAGUCUUCUCAUAUAAACAGCAAAAACCAAACAGAUCCCUGCAGUCUCGGGCUGGCCGGCUCAACGGCAGUAGACUAUGACCACAAGGGGGCGCACCGAAGUCAACACCAUCUUGGCCCACACAGUAAAGAGAAAUUAUUUGUGUUAGCGGCAGCCACCCAAGAAAGGACAGAAGCUUAAUAGACUUCUUUGAACAGAAAUGUCAGGAAGUGGUGUCCAGCACAGUGGCAGGAAGGAUACCUGGCAGUCCUUUGCUCAGCCCUCCCUCCCUCAUAGAAAGCAGAAGUUAGCAGUAGUGUUUCAGGAUGAUCUUAACCCCCCUCCCCCAGCCUGCAUGUGGUCAGCCGCCAUUACUGUAGUUCCUCAAGCAGAAGACUGGGGGAUCAGAUUAUAUGCCAGCUAUUUUCCUCAACACUGAUUCAGGUACAGAAAAUAGUAAAGUCGCUGAAUCACAAAUGUCUCCCUGUCCUUUCAGGUCAGUACUGGGGGCAAGGACAUGAAUGCCACCACAUAGCUGGGCAGGGCAUGAGAUGGUGAGAAGUGACAGAUGUCACAUGGUCGUGAGUUAAUGAAGUGGACAUCUUCAGAGAGCCUGUAGGAGCCAGGCGCAGCACUCUCAGCUCAAAGAGUCAAACCCGAGAAAAAUGCAAACCCUAACCUCAAGAAGAGUAUGACAGGAGAUAAGUCACAUUACAAACAGCCUGGGGAGCAAUGGUGGCACUUGCCUUGAGUCCCAGCACUCAGGAGGCAGAGACAGAAUCUCUGUGAGCCUGGUCUACGAAGUCUCCAAAAUAAACAACCCUGUCUCUAAAAAACAAA